rnacentral:tRNA from 1 species
AACGGAAUCUCCUAGCCUGGUAGGGAGCUGGCCUGCUAAGUCUGUGGCCCGUAUGGGCCUCGUGGGUUCGAAUCCCACCCCCGGCG